CCUACGGGAGGCAGCAGUGAGGAAUAUUGGUCAAUGGGCGCGAGCCUGAACCAGCCAAGUAGCGUGAAGGAUGACUGCCCUACGGGUUGUAAACUUCUUUUAUAAAGGAAUAAAACGAGGCACGUGUGCCUUUAUGCAGGUACUUUAUGAAUAAGGAUCGGCUAACUACGUGCCAGCAGCCGCGGUAAUACGGAGGAUCCGAGCUUUAUCCGGAUUUAUUGGGUGUAAAGGGAGCGUAGAUGGGUUGUUAAGUCAGUUGUGAAAGUUUGCGGGUCAACCGUAGAAUUGCAAUUGAUACUGGCAGUCUUGAGUACAGUAGAGGUAGGCGGAAUUCGAGGUGUAGCGGUGAAAUGCUUAGAU
rnacentral:rRNA from 1 species